rnacentral:rRNA from 1 species
CCUGGAAACAGAUGCUAAUACCGGAUAACAACAGAUGAUGCCUAUCAACNGUUUAAAAGAUGGUUCUGCUAUCACUCUUGGAUGGACCUGCGGUGCAUUAGCUAGUUGGUAGGGUAACGGCCUACCAAGGCGAUGAUGCAUAGCCGAGUUGAGAGACUGAUCGGCCACAUUGGGACUGAGACACGGCCCAAACUCCUACGGGAGGCAGCAGGG